GACGAACCGUGCGAACGUUGUUCGGAUUCACUGGGCUUAAAGGGCGCGUAGGCGGGCCUUCAAGUCCGGGGUGAAAUCCUCUCGCUUAACGAGAGAACUGCCCCGGAUACUGAGGGCCUCGAGGGAGGUAGGGGCAUGUGGAACUUCCGGUGGAGCGGUGAAAUGCGUAGAUAUCGGAAGGAACGCCGGUGGCGAAAGCGACGUGCUGGACCUUUUCUGACGCUGAGGCGCGAAAGCCAGGGGAGCAAACGGG
rnacentral:rRNA from 2 species